rnacentral:rRNA from 1 species
UAGCGGCGGAUGGGUGAGGAACACGUGGAUAACCUGCCUCUCACUGGGGGAUAACAGUUGGAAACGACUGUUAAUACCGCAUAUGCUCACGGGACCGCAUGGUCCUGGGAGGAAAGAUUUAUCGGUGAGAGAUGGGUCCGCGCCGGAUUAGCCAGUUGGCGGGGUAACGGCCCACCAAGGCGAUGAUGCAUAGCCGGGCUGAGAGGCUGAACGGCCACAUUGGGACUGAGACACGGCCCAGACUCCUACGGGAGGCAGCAGUAGGGAAUUUUCGGCAAUGGGGGAAACCCUGACCGAGCAACGCCGCGUGAGUGAUGAAGGUCUUCGGAUUGUAAAGCUCUGUUGUAAGGGAAGAAUGAAUUGGAUAGAAUCCGAUUGUGACGGUACCUUACCAGAAAGCUACGGCUAACUACGUGCCAGCAGCCGCGGUAAUACGUAGGUAGCGAGCGUUAUCCGGAAUUAUUGGGCGUAAAGGGUGCGUAGGCGGCUUGUUAAGUUUAAGGUGAAAGAAUGGGGCUCAACCCCAUAAAGCCUUAGAUACUGGCAAGCUAGAGUACUGGAGAGGGUAGUGGAAUUCCAUGUGUAGCGGUAAAAUGCGUAGAUAUAUGGAGGAACACCGGUGGCGAAGGCGGCUACCUAGACAGAGACUGACGCUGAGGCACGAAAGCGUGGGGAGCAAAUAGGAUUAGAUACCCUAGUAGUCCACGCCGUAAACGAUGAAUGCUAGAUAUCGGGGCAACUCGGUGUCGAAACUAACGCGAUAAGCAUUCCGCCUGUGGAGUAUGCACGCAAGUGUGAAACAUAAAGGAAUUGACGGGGGCCCGCACAAGCGGUGGAGUAUGUGGUUUAAUUCGACGCAACGCGAAGAACCUUACCAGGCCUUGACAUCCCUUGCAAAACUCUAGAGAUAGAGCAGAGGUUAUCAAGGUGACAGGUGGUGCAUGGUUGUCGUCAGCUCGUGUCGUGAGAUGUUGGGUUAAGUCCCGCAACGAGCGCAACCCUUGUCUUCAGUUACCAUCAUUAAGUUGGGGACUCUGGAGAGACUGCCGGUGAUAAACCGGAGGAAGGUGGAGAUGACGUCAAAUCAUCAUGCCCCUUAUGGCCUGGGCUACACACGUACUACAAUGGCUGUUACAACGUGAAGCAACACUGUGAAGUGAAGCGAAUCACUAAAAGGCAGUCUCAGUUCGGAUUGAAGUCUGCAACUCGACUUCAUGAAGUUGGAAUCGCUAGUAAUCGCGGAUCAGCAUGCCGCGGUGAAUACGUUCUCGGGCCUUGUACACACCGCCCGUCAUACCAUGAGAGCUGGCAAUACCCGAAGCCGG